rnacentral:rRNA from 1 species
AUUGAACGCUGGCGGCAGGCCUAACACAUGCAAGUCGAACGAGUGGCGGACGGUUGAGUAAUGUCUGGGAAACUGCACGAUGGCUGGGGAUAACUACUGGAAACGGUAGCUAAUACCGCAUACCAUCGGAUGUGCCCCGAUGGGAUUAGCUAGUAGGUGGGGUAACGCCACACCUAGGCUACGCUCCCUAGCUGGUCUGAGAGGAUGACCAGCCACACUGGAAAGGAGACACGGUCCAGACUCAUACGGGAGGCAGCAGUGGGGAAUAUUGCACAAUGGGCGAAAGCCUGAUGCAGCCAUGCCGCGUGUAUGAAGAAGGCCUUCGGGUUGUAAAGUACUUUCAGCGGGGAGGCGUUACUCACAGAAGAAGCACCGGCUAACUCCGUGCCAGCAGCCGCGGUAAUUC